rnacentral:rRNA from 1 species
AGCGAACGUUAGCGGCAGGCCUAACACAUGCAAGUCGAGCGAGAAAGGGGCUUCGGCCCUGAGUAAAGCGGCGGACGGGUGCGUAACACGUGGAUAAUCUGCCCUUCGGCGGGGGAUAACAGUCCGAAAGGAUUGCUAAUACCGCAUACGUCGACGGUGUCUCCGGAUGCUGUCGGGAAAGAGGGCGCCCGCAAGGGGCUCUCACCGGAGGAUGAGUCCGCGGCCCAUCAGCUAGUUGGCGGUGUAACGGACCACCAAGGCUUAGACGGGUAGCUGGUCUGAGAGGAUGAUCAGCCACACUGGGACUGAGACACGGCCCAGACUCCUACGGGAGGCAGCAGUGGGGAAUAUUGGGCAAUGGGCGCAAGCCUGACCCAGCCAUGCCGCGUGAGUGAUGAAGG